GCCCAAUGCACCAGGGAUGGAAAUCUUCUCAAUGUAUGGAGUUGGAAUCCCAACUGAAAGAGCCUAUGUAUACAAACUAAGUCCUGGUGGAGAUUGCUAUAUUCCUUUCCAGAUAGAUACUUCGGCUGAGGGUGGAAGUGAAAGUCCUUGCUUGAAAGGCGGUGUCUUUCAUAUAGAUGGAGAUGAGACUGUACCUAUUCUAAGUGCAGGUUACAUGUGUGUGAAAGGGUGGAGAGGAAAGACCCGAUUUAAUCCAUCAGGCAUCCGUACAUUUAUAAGAGAGUACAAUCACGCCCCUCCAGCUAAUCUUUUAGAGGGAAGGGGAACGCAAAGUGGUGCACACGUUGAUAU
rnacentral:misc_RNA from 1 species